GUGACCUUUGCACUGUAUGUUUCCCUUCCUGUGUCCUACCAACAGCCUCCUGCUCCUCCUGCUCCUCCUACUCCUCCUCCUCUUCCUCCUCCUCUUCCUCCUCCUCCAUUCAAUCUACCGUACCCCACAUCAUGUACUGUACAUGUGCAAACAGGCACAUGCGCAGCACACCUCCUAUGUGUGACCUACAGACUGACUUUACACACACACACACACACACACACACACACACACACACACACAUAUUUACAUGCUGAAAUCCCCACUGCUGCUAGCUUAUAUCCACUUGUUGUCAGCAAAACAGGUCCAUGUUGCUUGUGUUGGCUUACAAAGCAAAAAUGUGUGUUUUGGGUGUUUGAACAUGUACAUGGUGUUUCUUGUGCCAACAUGAAGCUGAGGGUUUUAUCUCUCUGCAUAUUAAUGAGGAGCCUGCACACAGAGACAGAUAAUAAUGAAGGCUGAAAUGAGGAAAAGACUGUAGGGAAACAACGUCCUGGUGCCACAUGUCGAAGUAUCCUUGAGCAAGAUACUGAACCCCAAAUUGCUCCUGAUGCCGCGUCGGUGUGUGAAUGUGUAUGAAUGAGUUAGUUUCUGUUCAAUGGACUUUGCCAUCACUGAGUGAAUGUGUGUGAAAGGUUGAAUGUGGCAUGUAGUGUAAAAGCGCUUUGAGUGGUCAGAAGACUAGAAAGGCGAUAUACAAGUACAGGUCCAUUUACCAUAUGUCACUUUUUAUGGGCUGAGACAUCGACCUUGCCUCAGUACAGCAGACACACACACAGUAUAUGUUACAAGUGUGCACUGACACCCCUCCCUCCCCCUAUAGGUCUGUUUAACCCUUGCAGAAUCUGCAGCAGGCACGUCUUCUCUUUCAGUCUGCUGCUCUCUCCUCCCCCCCUCCCCUUUUGUCUCUCAGCUCCUGGCAGUGCACAUACCAUGAGCACACACAUGCACACACAUGCACGAACGGCCGUAAAGCAAAUCUACACACACCCCCUUUCAGUGAGAUCACAUUCAGCACAGAGCAGUUGCAGGACACACUGAAGCCCCCCUCUGGCAUUUUGAUUCCUGCACCGAGCUGUCUAACUCAGGACCAAGACAUCCCAUCUGCAGAUAGGCGUUCGGAGGACAGGAACAGGACAGGACACGCACCCUCUACACCAAGCACCACAGACAUGUCGGACUCCGAGACCGCCGCUGCUGCUCCCGCUGAGGCCCCCGUCCCUGCUGCUUGUGCCAGCAUCAAGGCUGACCUGGACAAAUGGUCCACUGCACUGAGUCCUCCGAGUUCCCAGCAUUCCCUUCUGCACAACAGCACUGGACUGAAUGAUGACAACGAUGAUGAUGAUGAUGAUGAUGAUCAUGGCGUGUUGAUUCGGGCUGAAUUUGGGAUCUGGCGGCAGUAACCACAGUUUCCUCUCCCCCACCCCCCUCUGUUUUAGGCUUAUGUGGUGUCCCUCAGCUUUACCACCAUUCCCCUUCUCCCUCUACAGCUGACAUACAGCGCAUCGACUUGUAGACAAUUCCAGAGAGCUGAUGGGCUGUGAUGUAAAUUGUCGAAUACUUAUAAAUGGAAAUAAAAGUAUCAAAUAAUUGGUAUAAAAACGAAUUAUGAUCUUUGGCCUCUUUUGUUUCUCUUUUGGGGAAAGGGGAGCACCUGUUUUCUUGGUAUAUUAACAUUGAAUGUAUGCAAAGUCGUGCCCAGAGUCACCAGUCACUACUAAAACAUGUACCUGUCCUCCUAUGAGCCUAAACGCACUCACUGUUUAUCUACACUAGAUUUACGUACAUUCAGUUGUGCUCUGCAAGACUCAUUCAGCUCUCAUAUCAUUCUUAUAAUGUGGGAAACUUUCCAGAUUCACCUGUAUUAUCUGGUCAAAUUCCUCGAGACAAAUAUUGAACAUUUGCUUAAGAAGCUCUGUUCGUGUUUUCAACAAUGGCCGAAACUUAGCACGGUCACUCUUUAAACCAGGGGUGUCAAACUGAUCCGUGAAAGGGCCGGUGGGGCUGCAGGUUUUCAUUCCAACCAUGCAGCAGCACACCUGACUUGGUUCAUUCAAUCAACUGAACUGUCUUCACACAGUCAAAAACUUGCAGCCACACCCACGCUUUAAUCAAGGGUGGCUGUUUUUGUUCCAAUCAAGCAAGAGGACACCUGAAAUGACUGUGUGAAGACAGUUCAGUUGAUUGAAUGAACCAAGUCAGGUGUGCUGCUGCAUGGUUGGAAUGAAAACCUGCAGCCCCACCGGCCCUUUCACGGAUCAGUUUGACACCCGUGGUUUAAAGAGUGACCGUGCUAAGUUUCGGCCAUUGUUGAAAACACGAACAGAGCUUCUUAAGCANNNNNNNNNNNNNNNNNNNNNNNNNNNNNNNNNNNNNNNNNNNNNNNNNNNNNNNNNNNNNNNNNNNNNNNNNNNNNNNNNNNNUUCCAAUCAAGCAAGAGGACACCUGAAAUGACUGUGUGAAGACAGUUCAGUUGAUUGAAUGAACCAGGUGUGCUGCUGCAUGGUUGGAAUGAAAACCUGCAGCCACACCGGCCCUUUCAUGGAUCAGUUUGACACCCCUGCUUUAAACUAUAACACCAACUUUCAGUUGUGCUGUUGCCUCGUGAGAAUCGGAGCAAACUUUUAUAUUUUAGGCCUUGUGGAUCUAAAAUGAGUACGAUGCACUUGGAUUGCUUAUUUUUCUCAAACUGUUUGUGGUGGACUGCUGAGGUGAAAAUGUACUCAAACCUGAUUGGCUCACAGAAUUUGGGCCUCAGGGAUGGGACUGCAGCUUGACCCUAAUCAUAGUUUCCCUUACAUGCUUGGAGGUUGAAGGGAGGGGUGUUCAGUUGGUUGCAAUCUGCAACUACGCCGCUAGAUGUCAUUGAAUCCUACACAGUGGCCCUUUUAAGUUAAUCACUACAAAAUAACUGAGAAAACCAGGAUUUUACAAGCUUUUACCAUUAAUUCCCAGCAUUUGUGCAGUAACUAUUAGUUUUGUUUUUUAUUGUAGGGAAGCAACAGGUAACACUUUAUUUGAAGGGGUUACAGGUAUUGUCAUUUGGUCAGUUAACCCUAACAUAAAAAUGUCAUAAACAUUCAUAAAGACUCCUGCAUGUUCUUGACAGCUGUCAUGUAAGUCUUAUGCACACCCAUUCAAAUGAAGUGGUACCAAACAGGACUAUGAAGCCCCAAAACUAACUUGCUAACUAUCUACUGCCCACCCCUGGCAUCAAGUUGUUGAUGAUUAGUUACAGUUAGUUACAGUUACUUGGUGGUAUACCAUUCUGUUUAAUUUUACUUAUGACUAUAGUAUGGUUUCACUGUACCAUCACAUGUUCACACAUCUACUUAACCUUUUUGCACAUACAAAUAGGACUUAAUGCACACUGCAAAUCAGUCUGUUGUACAAUGGGCAAUAAAAGGAAAUUCCACAGUGUGCCUUGACAGAAACACUGUUGAAAGGUGCUAAAAUAAAUACUGCCAAUUAAAG
rnacentral:lncRNA from 15 species